rnacentral:rRNA from 1 species
UACGUAGGGGGCUAGCGUUGUCCGGAUUUAUUGGGCGUAAAGAGCUCGUAGGCGGUCUGUUGCGUCGGCUGUGAAAACCCGGGGCUCAACUCCGGGCCUGCAGCCGAUACGGGCAGACUAGAGUUCGGCAGGGGAGACUGGAAUUCCUGGUGUAGCGGUGAAAUGCGCAGAUAUCAGGAGGAACACCGGUGGCGAAGGCGGGUCUCUGGGCCGAUACUGACGCUGAGGAGCGAAAGCGUGGGGAGCGAACAGG